rnacentral:rRNA from 1 species
CCUACGGGUGGCAGCAGUGAGGAAUAUUGGUCAAUGGACGCAAGUCUGAACCAGCCAUGCCGCGUGCAGGAUGACGGCUCUAUGAGUUGUACACUGCUUUUGUACGAGGGUAAACGCAGAUACGUGUAUCUGUCUGAAAGUAUCGUACGAAUAAGGAUCGGCUAACUCCGUGCCAGCAGCCGCGGUAAUACGGAGGAUCCGAGCGUUAUCCGGAUUUAUUGGGUUUAACGGGUGCGUAGGCGGUCUGAUAAGUUAGAGGGGAAAUGUCGAGGCACAACCUCGGAACUGCCUCUGAUACUGUUGGGCUAGAGAGUAGUUGCGGUAGGCGGAAUGUAUGGUGUAGCGGUGAAAUGCUUAGAGAUCAUACAGAACACCGAUUGCGAAGGCAGCUUACCAAGCUAUAUCUGACGUUGAGGCACGAAAGCGUGGGUAGCAAACAGGAUUAGAUACCCGAGUAGUC